rnacentral:rRNA from 1 species
UACGUAGGGUGCAAGCGUUGUCCGGAAUUAUUGGGCGUAAAGAGCUCGUAGGCGGCCUGUUGCGUCCGCUGUGAAAUCCCGGGGCUCAACCCCGGGCCUGCAGUGGAUACGGGCUGGCUAGAGGCAGGCAGGGGAGAACGGAAUUCCUGGUGUAGCGGUGAAAUGCGCAGAUAUCAGGAGGAACACCGGUGGCGAAGGCGGUUCUCUGGGCCUGUACUGACGCUGAGGAGCGAAAGCGUGGGGAGCAAACAGG